GUUGAAUUAUAGUUACGAUCUCUGGGUUCGUUAUUAGUGAAACUGAGGUAGUGUGUGAAAAAUCCAUGUUUAAGCUUGCAAAUGCAGUAUUUCUUACUAUUCGCAAAUGAUGACAAAUAGACGGGACAUCAGCACUCUAAG
rnacentral:pre_miRNA from 1 species